UACGGAGGGUGCAAGCGUUGAUCGGAAUUACUGGGCGUAAAGCGCACGCAGGUGGCUGAGUCAGUCGAUUGUGAAAGCCCUGGGCUUAACCUGGGAAUUGCAGUCGAUACUACUCAGCUAGAGUAUGGGAGAGGGCAGUGGAAUUCCCGGUGUAGCGGUGAAAUGCGUAGAUAUCGGGAGGAACAUCAGUGGCGAAGGCGGCUGCCUGGCCCAAUACUGACACUCAGGUGCGACAGCGUGGGGAGCAAACAGG
rnacentral:rRNA from 1 species